AUAUUGGAUUCUAAUGAUUUACAGAAUGGUUUUACUUUACAGGGAAGUACGGUCAAAACUCCCGAAUAGCACCUGCGAUCUCAGCGUGCUGGGGUUAGAGUUCUUGAAACACUGCUAGGAAAACGGUGCUAGAUUCCCCGGGUCCGGCUCCAGCCCACAUCCGUUCACAGCUACCCUGGCACUCGUUGCCUUCUCCCGGGCUCUCGCCCUGGAACGUCCCCGGCGCGUUCCCGGCCGCGCUGCGCUCUCGCCCUGCCUUCUCCAUGUUUCUCUAAGGCUCUCUCUCCUCGCCCGGGGUUGGGAACCAGAGGUGGCAGGGGAAGUGGCAUGCGUUAUUUCCGGGCGCUGGCCUACGUCCCCCCACCCCUCGUCUGAGGGUGGACGGGGAUACGUCUGCCUGCUCUACGGCGUCCUCGGGGCUGCGGACACGGCACGACUGGGCCUCCCCAGCUCCGGCCGCUCGCCCGACGCCCGGGACUUCUGAGCCUCUAGGUGAACGCAGGCGCCGCUUGCGCUCGCGGCCCGUCGGGCCACCAGGGGGCGCCCGCCCGCCCGCCAGCCCGGCGCGGGGCUGGGGCUGCUUUCUUCCCCGGGACUCAACGAGGGCAGGCGAAGUUGCCUUCCAGAACGUACCUUGCUUGGGCCGACUGGUUCACAGUGAAUAGAGACAUUUAUUACCAUUUAAGCUUCGAACAUGUGAUACGUGACUGGUUGGAAUUCCUGGAGAACUGUAUUAACAUGUUUUAGAGAGUUGAAUCCUGAGAACAUUUAUUGCGUGACUAAUCAUUGAAAUCCUUAAUGUGAACUGGAUGCUGCAACAGCUGUCCUCUUGGGUUUAGGUGUUGUUCCUUCACGGAAUCCAUGCCUGAGUCUGUGAACACCUGAGCAGUAGUUGACCUUGGCCUGGCCUUUUCUUUUAAAAGGCAGGAUGGGGAAUUCCCUCAUGGCACAGUGGUUAAGAAUCCGCCUGCUAAUGCAGGGGUCAUGGGUUUGAUCCCUGGUCCGGGAAGAUCCCACAUGCCAUGGAGCAACUAAGCCCAUGCACUACAACUUCGGAGCCAGUGAGCCACAACUACUGAGUCUACGAACUACAACUAUUGAAGCCCGCAUGCCUAGAGCCCAUGCUCCACAAGAGAAGCCACUGCAAUGAAAAGCCUGCAUGCCACAACGAAGAGUAGCCCCUGCUCGGUGCAACUAGAGAAAGCCCCACACACAGCAAUGAAGACCCAAUGCAGCCAAAUAAAUAAAUAAAUAAAUAAAUAAAUAUUAAAAAAAAUAAAAGGGAGGAUGGUAUUCUUGGAAGAGGCAUGGACUAUGAAAUUAGACCUGUAACAAUGUGAAUCCUGAUAUUAUCAAUUACUCCUUCUUCACUUUGGGCUCUCUGGGCCUCCAUUUCCCCAUUUGUAGAAUUUGUGUAAUUUAAUCUGCUUGGGGAUUAGAUGAGAUAACCUGUGUGAAGUGUCCAGGGCAACAAUGUAGGCAGUAAGCUUCAUUCUACUUCUCUCCCUUCAAAAAUAUUUAAAGGUUUCUGUUACUGUCAAGGGAAGACAUUCUUUUCUGGCUCCUCUAGUGGGAUUCAAUACAUUUCUCAAGGGGAAAGGAAAUGGCAAAGCGGGUAUCUGAAAGUGGUUGGAAUACUGAUUUUAGGUGUACCAUGGAUUACUUAGGCUUUUGUGGGUUGGACUGAGUAUUAAUAAGCAUUUAGAGUCCCUUAUUUUAGGAAAUGGUAUUCAGUUUGGGAAUAGGAAAUAAGGUGUCAAGGGCUAGUGCUUGCUGUCAGCAGGUACAAGAGUUGGGUAUGGAAUUAAGAACCCAACUAUAUGAUUUCUGAAUAAAUAGCAAAGCUAGUCACUAGGAUGGAGCAAGCAUUGUUUGGGUUUGAGGAAUAGCUACAGCUCAGUGGGUUUCAAAGAAUACCACAUUUGGGGCCACAAGACAACUCUCAACUUAAACCUAUUGAUGGAUCUAGGACUUUUGCUAUAUUGCUAAACACAACUGCAGGAUAGUCACUUGCAUUGUGAGCCUUCAGAAUUUGUUAUCAGUAAGACUGGGAGAAGUCGGAUCUGGAUUGUGGUCUUCUUCUUGAGGGCAACUAAGAAGCAUUUUCUGAGCAUAACUAUUGUUCACACACUUUGACUAUUUAUGUCAUCAUAGAAAUAACAAACUGGACUAUGUAUAAUUUAUAGUUUAUCACCAUGGUUCUUUGACUCUCAGAUCACUUCUAGGAAACAUUUCUGGUGAUACUUUUUUUUUUUCCUAUCAUAAUGCUUU